rnacentral:lncRNA from 1 species
GCGGGCAGCAGGCUAGGGGCUGGGCGGCGGUUGAGACAGCGGCUGUAUUGGGGGAUAGGUGACGGUCGCGAGGCUGCCUGAGCUUCUGAGUGAGCUCGGAGCUUUGGGAAACGCGUGAGGGGCGACCUGCGGCGCCAGGAGCGGGCAGAGGCGCGGCGGCGCGGCUGCAGUCUGGAUGGGAAGUUACGGUUUACAGCGAAGUCCACCCAGCGUUUCCGAGGCAAUCUGAAGGCAAAUGCUGUUUAGAUGCAGGCCAAGGUUCCUGGUGACCCAGGCUCUCACCAGCAGAUUGUCCCUUACUGUCCUCCUGAGGGUGUCUGGAGCUUCAGUGCUGUGUGCUCUUGGCCUCCACACUGGGGUGCCACCGACUCCCACUGUCCAGGGCUUCCAGUGGACUCUCCGAGGCACUGAUGUAGAAACAUCCCCAUUCGGUGCACCAAGAGCAGCCUCCCACAGUGUGGGCCGACAGGAAGAGCUGCCAGAUCCAACAGCCCUUGAAGAUAAGGAUGGUCAAGCAAAAUAAUAUCAUACCUGGAGAAACUCAGAUCUUGGUAAGAUUUACUGGUUGGGAAUCCAAUGUUAAUGCCAAGAAGCAGCCGCCAGUUGGGAUCAAAUGUGAGCCUAUGGAUCAAGGUGCGUACUCAGACACACAGAGCUUUCUGAAAGAUGCUACCAGUAGUUUUUCCAGGGCAGAGAUGGGUCCUUUAUUUUUCUCUCUAAUCUAGCCCAUAUGCUU